CAGCCGCCGCGGUAAUACGUAGGGGGCGAGCGUUCCCCGGAUUCACUGGGCGUAAAGGGGGUGUAGGCGGCUCGGUAAGUCGGGUGUGAAAUCCCACGGCUCAACCGUGGAAUUGCGCCCGAAACUGCCGAGCUUGGGGCCGGUAGAGGGAGACGGAACUGCCGGUGUAGGGGUGAAAUCCGUAGAUAUCGGCAGGAACGCCGGUGGGGAAGCCGGUCUCCUGGGCCGCGCCCGACGCUGAGGCCCGAAAGCUAGGGGAGCAAACCGGAUUAGAUACCCGGGUAGUCCUAGCCGUAAACGAUGCCCACUAGGUGUGGGGGAGUAUUUCCUCCGUGCUGGAGCUAACGCGUUAAGUGGGCCGCCUGGGGAGUACGCCCGCAAGGGUGAAACUUAAAGGAAUUGGCGGG
rnacentral:rRNA from 1 species